CCCUUUUGGGUGUGACUGCGUACCUUUUGUAUAAUGGGUCAGCGACUUAUAUUCUGUAGCAAGGUUAACCGAAUAGGGGAGCCGGAGGGAAACCGAGUCUUAACCGGGCGUUAAGUUGCAGGGUAUAGACCCGAAACCCGGUGAUCUAGCCAUGGGCAGGUUGAAGGUUGGGUAACACUAACUGGAGGACCGAACCGACUAAUGUUGAAAAAUUAGCGGAUGACCUGUGGCUGGGGGUGAAAGGCCAAUCAAACCGGGAGAUAGCUGGUUCUCCCCGAAAGCUAUUUAGGUAGCGCCUCGUGAAUUCAUCUCCGGGGGUAGAGCACUGUUUCGGCUAGGGGGCCAUCCCGGCUUACCAACCCGAUGCAAACUGCGAAUACCGGAGAAUGUUAUCACGGGAGACACACGGCGGGUGCUAACGUCCGUCGUGAAGAGGGAAACAACCCAGACCGCCAGCUAAGGUCCCAAAGUCAUGGUUAAGUGGGAAACGAUGUGGGAAGGCCCAGACAGCCAGGAUGUUGGCUUAGAAGCAGCCAUCAUUUAAAGAAAGCGUAAUAGCUCACUGGUCGAGUCGGCCUGCGCGGAAGAUGUAACGGGGCUAAACCAUGCACCGAAGCUGCGGCAGCGAACGUAUCACCCAAGACAACUUUACGGAGUUGACGAUUGACGGAGCGAAGCGACGUCAAAGCGUUCAUUAAAGUCGAGUUGGCUUAGGGAUACGUU
rnacentral:rRNA from 1 species